rnacentral:rRNA from 1 species
GACGAACGCUGGCGGCGUGCUUAACACAUGCAAGUCGAGCGGUAAGGCCCUUCGGGGUACACGAGCGGCGAACGGGUGAGUAACACGUGGGUGACCUGCCUUUAGCUCUGGGAUAAGCCUGGGGAAACUGGGUCUAAUACCGGAUAUAACCUCAUGACGCAUGUUGUGGGGUGGAAAGCCUUGUGCGGCUAGAGAUGGGCCCGCGGCCUAUCAGCUUGUUGGUGGGGUGAUGGCCUACCAAGGCGACGACGGGUAGCCGGCCUGAGAGGGCGACCGGCCACACUGGGACUGAGACACGGCCCAGACUCCUACGGGAGGCAGCAGUGGGGAAUCUUGCGCAAUGGGCGAAAGCCUGACGCAGCGACGC